rnacentral:rRNA from 1 species
GAGGAAUAUUGGACAAUGGGUGAAAGCCUGAUCCAGCCAUCCCGCGUGAAGGAUGACGGUCCUAUGGAUUGUAAACUUCUUUUGUACAGGGAUAAACCUACCCUCGUGAGGGUAGCUGAAGGUACUGUACGAAUAAGCACCGGCUAACUCCGUGCCAGCAGCCGCGGUAAUACGGAGGGUGCAAGCGUUAUCCGGAUUUAUUGGGUUUAAAGGGUCCGUAGGCGGACCUGUAAGUCAGUGGUGAAAUCUCAUAGCUUAACUAUGAAACUGCCAUUGAUACUGCAGGUCUUGAGUAAAUUUGAAGUGGCUGGAAUAAGUAGUGUAGCGGUGAAAUGCAUAGAUAUUACUUGGAACACCAAUUGCGAAGGCAGGUCACUAAGAUUUAACUGACGCUGAUGGACGAAAGCGUGGGUAGCGAAC